CUCAAACUCUACUGAAUCAUGAGGUGACAGUUCAACCUCCAGGUGAGGAUCAAGCUCAUUAUAACUUACCCAACAUUAGAGUUAAACCUGCGGAUGUGGAGGUUACCAUAACUUCAGAGCCUACCAAUGGGACAGAAUCUUCCCAAGCCCAGCAGGAGGCCCCAGUUCAGCCUCCAGAGGAGGUGGAAACUUCUGUAACCCAACAGGAGGCUGCAACUGAGCCUCCAGGUCCUCCUAUGGAGCUUGAACUUUCCCUCAGUGAGCAGCAGCAGCCAGCUCAGCCUUCUGAGUCUUCUGGAAAGGUUGAAUCUUCUCCAGCCCAGCAGGAGACCCCAGCUCAGCCUCCAGAACAUCAUGAAGUCACAGUUUUACCUCCAGGUCACCAUCAAGCUCAGCAUUCAGAUUUGCCCAAUGUCACUGUUAGGCCUCCAGACAUGCAGCUCACCAUAGCAACAGAGCCUAGUGCAGAGGUGGGAACUUCUCCAGUCCACCAGGAGGCUACAGCUCAGCUCUCAGGGCCAAUUAAUGAUGUAGAAAUUUCUGCCACCCAGCAUGGGGGCCCACCUCUGCCUCCAGAGUCAUUGGAAGAGGCUGAGCCUUUAACAGUUCAACAGGAGACUUCAGUUCAAUCUCCAGAACCUAUUAAUAAUGAGAACCCCUCUCCAACCCAGCAGGAGGCUGCAGCUGAGCGUCCAUAGACCCCUAAGGAGGUUGAGUCUUCUCUAAUCCAGUAGGAGGCCCCAGCUCAGACUCCAGAGCUCCCUAAUGAAGUUGUAGCUCAACCUCCAGAGCAUCAUGAGAUCUGUCUUCAGUAUUCAGAAGUAAUUCAACUUUGCCUAAUACCACAGUUAAAAAUGUGGAUAUGGAGCUUACCAUACCUGCAGCGUCACUAUGGAAGUUGAACCUUCUCCAGUCCAGCAGGACAACCCUUCUAUUCCCACUGAGCAGGCUGACUUUUCUCUAGCCCAGCCUGAUCUCCCUUCCCCACCUCUGCAUUCUCCUGAAAAGGUUAAAUCUCCAGUCCAGCAGGAGGCCACAGCUCAGACUUCAGAUUCCCCUAAGGAGGUAGAACCUUUUCCAGUCCAGCAAGAGUUUCCAGCUGAGCCACCAGAGCCCCCUAAGGAGGUUGAACCAUCUGCAACCCAGCAGGAAGCCUCAGGUCAUCCUCCAAAGUCCACUGAAGAGGUCAGUCCUCCACUGCAGCAGGAGAUACCAGCUCAGCCAUCAGAGCCACCUGAGAAGGUCGAACCAUCUCCAGUCCUAUAGCAGGCCCCAACUCAGCUUUUAGAGCCCCUUAAAGAGGUAGAAUCCUCUCCAGUCCAGCAGGCAGUCCCUGCUCAGUCUUCAGAACCCCCCUAUGGUGAUAGAACCCUCUCUGACCCAGCAGAUGGCCCCAUCUUUGCCUCCAGAGUUCCCUCAGGAGGUAGAACCAUCUCUAACUCAGCAGGA
rnacentral:lncRNA from 1 species